rnacentral:rRNA from 1 species
GUGUCAGCCGCCGCGGUAAUACGAAGGGGGCUAGCGUUGCUCGGAAUCACUGGGCGUAAAGGGCGCGUAGGCGGCGUUUUAAGUCGGGGGUGAAAGCCUGUGGCUCAACCACAGAAUGGCCUUCGAUACUGGGACGCUUGAGUCUGGUAGAGGUUGGUGGAACUGCGAGUGUAGAGGUGAAAUACGUAAAUUUUAGGAAGAACACCGGGUGCGAAGGCGGCAAACUG